UUAAGUUAUUAAGGGCGCACGGUGGAUGCCUUGGCACUAGAAGCCGAUGAAGGACGUUACUAACGACGAUAUGCUUUGGGGAGCUGUAAGUAAGCUUUGAUCCAGAGAUUUCCGAAUGGGGAAACCCAGCAUGAGUUAUGUCAUGUUAUCGAUAUGUGAAUACAUAGCAUAUCAGAAGGCACACCCGGAGAACUGAAACAUCUUAGUACCCGGAGGAAGAGAAAGAAAAUUCGAUUCCCUUAGUAGCGGCGAGCGAAACGGGAAGAGCCCAAACCAACAAGCUUGCUUGUUGGGGUUGUAGGACACUCUAUACGGAGUUACAAAGGACGACAUUAGACGAAUCAUCUGGAAAGAUGAAUCAAAGAAGGUAAUAAUCCUGUAGUCGAAAAUGUUGUCUCUCUUGAGUGGAUCCUGAGUACGACGGAGCACGUGAAAUUCCGUCGGAAUCUGGGAGGACCAUCUCCUAAGGCUAAAUACUCUCUAGUGACCGAUAGUGAACCAGUACCGUGAGGGAAAGGUGAAAAGCACCCCGGAAGGGGAGUGAAACAGAACCUGAAACCGUGUGCUUACAAGUAGUCAGAGCCCGUUAAUGGGUGAUGGCGUGCCUUUUGUAGAAUGAACCGGCGAGUUACGAUUUGAUGCAAGGUUAAGCAGUAAAUGUGGAGCCGUAGCGAAAGCGAGUCUGAAUAGGGCGUUUAGUAUUUGGUCGUAGACCCGAAACCAGGUGAUCUACCCUUGGUCAGGUUGAAGUUCAGGUAACACUGAAUGGAGGACCGAACCGACUUACGUUGAAAAGUGAGCGGAUGAACUGAGGGUAGCGGAGAAAUUCCAAUCGAACCUGGAGAUAGCUGGUUCUCUCCGAAAUAGCUUUAGGGCUAGCCUCAAGUGAUGAUUAUUGGAGGUAGAGCACUGUUUGGACGAGGGGCCCCUCUCGGGUUACCGAAUUCAGACAAACUCCGAAUGCCAAUUAAUUUAACUUGGGAGUCAGAACAUGGGUGAUAAGGUCCGUGUUCGAAAGGGAAACAGCCCAGACCACCAGCUAAGGUCCCAAAAUAUAUGUUAAGUGGAAAAGGAUGUGGCGUUGCCCAGACAACUAGGAUGUUGGCUUAGAAGCAGCCAUCAUUUAAAGAGUGCGUAAUAGCUCACUAGUCGAGUGACACUGCGCCGAAAAUGUACCGGGGCUAAACAUAUUACCGAAGCUGUGGAUUGUCCUUUGGACAAUGGUAGGAGAGCGUUCUAAGGGCGUUGAAGCAUGAUCGUAAGGACAUGUGGAGCGCUUAGAAGUGAGAAUGCCGGUGUGAGUAGCGAAAGACGGGUGAGAAUCCCGUCCACCGAUUGACUAAGGUUUCCAGAGGAAGGCUCGUCCGCUCUGGGUUAGUCGGGUCCUAAGCUGAGGCCGACAGGCGUAGGCGAUGAAUAACAGGUUGAUAUUCCUGUACCACCUAUAAUCGUUUUAAUCGAUGGGGGGACGCAGUAGGAUAGGCGAAGCGUGCGAUUGGAUUGCACGUCUAAGCAGUAAGGCUGAGUAUUAGGCAAAUCCGGUACUCAUUAAGGCUGAGCUGUGAUGGGGAGAAGACAUUGUGUCUUCGAGUCGUUGAUUUCACACUGCCGAGAAAAGCCUCUAGAUAGAAAAUAGGUGCCCGUACCGCAAACCGACACAGGUAGUCAAGAUGAGAAUUCUAAGGUGAGCGAGCGAACUCUCGUUAAGGAACUCGGCAAAAUGACCCCGUAACUUCGGGAGAAGGGGUGCUCUUUAGGGUUAACGCCCAGAAGAGCCGCAGUGAAUAGGCCCAAGCGACUGUUUAUCAAAAACACAGGUCUCUGCUAAACCGUAAGGUGAUGUAUAGGGGCUGACGCCUGCCCGGUGCUGGAAGGUUAAGAGGAGUGGUUAGCUUCUGCGAAGCUACGAAUCGAAGCCCCAGUAAACGGCGGCCGUAACUAUAACGGUCCUAAGGUAGCGAAAUUCCUUGUCGGGUAAGUUCCGACCCGCACGAAAGGCGUAACGAUUUGGGCACUGUCUCAACGAGAGACUCGGUGAAAUCAUAGUACCUGUGAAGAUGCAGGUUACCCGCGACAGGACGGAAAGACCCCGUGGAGCUUUACUGUAGCCUGAUAUUGAAAUUCGGCACAGCUUGUACAGGAUAGGUAGGAGCCUUUGAAACGUGAGCGCUAGCUUACGUGGAGGCGCUGGUGGGAUACUACCCUAGCUGUGUUGGCUUUCUAACCCGCACCACUUAUCGUGGUGGGAGACAGUGUCAGGCGGGCAGUUUGACUGGGGCGGUCGCCUCCUAAAAGGUAACGGAGGCGCUCAAAGGUUCCCUCAGAAUGGUUGGAAAUCAUUCAUAGAGUGUAAAGGCAUAAGGGAGCUUGACUGCGAGACCUACAAGUCGAGCAGGGUCGAAAGACGGACUUAGUGAUCCGGUGGUUCCGCAUGGAAGGGCCAUCGCUCAACGGAUAAAAGCUACCCCGGGGAUAACAGGCUUAUCUCCCCCAAGAGUUCACAUCGACGGGGAGGUUUGGCACCUCGAUGUCGGCUCAUCGCAUCCUGGGGCUGUAGUCGGUCCCAAGGGUUGGGCUGUUCGCCCAUUAAAGCGGUACGCGAGCUGGGUUCAGAACGUCGUGAGACAGUUCGGUCCCUAUCCGUCGUGGGCGUAGGAAAUUUGAGAGGAGCUGUCCUUAGUACGAGAGGACCGGGAUGGACAUACCUCUGGUGUACCAGUUGUCGUGCCAACGGCAUAGCUGGGUAGCUAUGUGUGGACGGGAUAAGUGCUGAAAGCAUCUAAGCAUGAAGCCCCCCUCAAGAUGAGAUUUCCCAACUUCGGUUAUAAGAUCCCUCAAAGAUGAUGAGGUUAAUAGGUUCGAGGUGGAAGCAUGGUGACAUGUGGAGCUGACGAAUACUAAUCGAUCGAAGACUUAAUCAA
rnacentral:rRNA from 1 species